rnacentral:misc_RNA from 1 species
UCAACAAGCCUGCCCAAUCG